rnacentral:rRNA from 1 species
UACGUAGGGUGCAAGCGUUAAUCGGAAUUACUGGGCGUAAAGCGUGCGCAGGCGGUUAUGUAAGACAGAUGUGAAAUGCCCGGGCUUAACCUGGGAACUGCAUUUGUGACUGCAUGGCUAGAGUUUGGCAGAGGGGGGUAGAAUUCCACGUGUAGCAGUGAAAUGCGUAGAUAUGUGGAGGAACACCGGUGGCGAAGGCGGGUCUCUGGGCAAUUCCUGACGCUGAGGCGCGAAAGCGUGGGGAGCAAACGGG